ensembl:ncRNA Y49G5B.2 ncRNA
GGCACACUCAUUGCCGUUUCAAGUGUUUUCUCGUUAUGCAAAGUUGCAAGUUUUCCGAAAUUCGUGAAUCGCUAAUUUCAAAUCCGUAUGAGCUCUGAGGAGUGAAGAAGUUGGGGGAUAAGUGCAAACAAGCU